AACAUCAAAUUUUCAUUUUUGGGUGAACUAUCCCUUUAAGAUAAUUAGUUAACAUAAUUUGUUACUUUUUUAGGGAGUAACACAAUAUUAUUCCCUAAAAUUAUUCCUCUUUAUUAUUCAACAUUCUGCUAAACAUAAAAAUUUGCUAUAUAGACAUUACAAAAGUAACAUAAAUCUUAGCAUGAUUCAUAAUGUAACUUUAAGGAUCAUUGUACUUCUCGUUUUCCACUUCUGUAGAAAAACGGUAAUAACAAAGGCUAAUACAUAAAGUGAAAGUGAGUUUGUGAACUUCCUUUUUAAUUGUCUUCAUCACCACCCUUGUGAAUUACCUGUUUCUGGAGUUUGAUUCUUACUUUUCUUACUUGUGUGAUCUAUUUGUCAAUUUUGAAUUUAUUCUGAGAUUGAUACAUGGUAACUGGUUACAUGUAAUGCUUAUAGCACAGGAUUCUUCUACAGACAUGUCAGGUUGACAUUUCACCCAUUUUGAGUGCCUUCAGACAAAUUGAAAUGGCCCUGUUCAUCUUCAUAACCAUUCAGCUUUUACUGCAGGUUAAAUCACAAGGUUUGCCGCAGGCCAACCUGACAAUAUUUCCUACAUCUGCCACCUAUGGAGAAACGGUGCAGAUGGUGUGUGGAGGUCAUGAGAUGCAUCGUGUAUCUGAAUGUAUGUUCUACCCUGCAGGACAGGAGAACUUUAAAAAACCAAGUGCAUCGUGUUACCUCACUCUUACUAGCGACGAACUGAUCCUGUGGUCACAAGAUGCAGAGAGUUCACAUGUCAACAUAUCCUGCUACUAUACUGUGUAUAGCUUAGGAGAAAAUGCAACAUCUCCUCAUUCCGACACAGUCUCAGUAAGGGUCAGAGGUUUUGCUGCCAUGUCAUCUUUGCCGCCGAUCACAGAGGACAGCCCAACUACACUGACCCCCAAUGGAACCACUGAAGCAAAUUUAUCCACUGCGUCAACAAUGGACACAACAACAACAUCUUUGACUGUAACAUCCAGUACUGAAAUGAUAACAGAUCCGAUAACCAAUAUGACCAGUCUAACUACCCAUGACAGCCAGAGUUCAACAGGUCCUGCAAAUGCAUCUCUGGAAUCGUCUACAGUUACUGAAACUACAGAACAUACACCAGACCCUGAAAUACUUAAGUACUUAAAUAAGUACUUAAAUAAAAAGGUGUUUUUCUCUAUUUCUGUGGUUGCAACUGGUGGAGGAAUUGUACUGACUGGACUGUUUGGCAUCUGUUUAUACGGAUGUACACGAAGGUCAAAGGAUGAGAGGAUUUGGAUUGAAAGAAAGAGUAGAAAACAGGGAGUUCCUUUAACAAUGGCCGGUUCAGACUCAUGCCUUGGUGAGGAAGAUACAGCAUUUUACUCAACCAUCAACUCUGUACAAUCCACCUCUCAACCACAAGGAAACAGUGCAGAAUCAAAGCAAUCCAAGAUGGCUGUUUAAUGAACAAACAAAACGAUAACAAAAGAACCAGGAGUCAAAGAAAACAGAGAAUGCAGGAACACAAGAAAACACCAGAUACAUCUAACAUGUUACAUAAACGUACGACUGACGAGGAACAGGAGAAACACAAGGGCAGUUUAUACACAAGGGGUAACAAGUAACAAGAAACACCUGAGAACAAAAAAGACUAAUCAAUAAGAAAACUGCUAUUCUGAAUAAUAAUAUUCUUUACUCAGUUUUCUUUGAUGCAUUUUAAAUUUGAGAAACUGGUUUGUCAGCAUUGAAUCAAUGAGACUCUGUAAAAUCGCUGUAAAACACCUUUACUUUUCUCAAUGCAAACAAACCUUAAAGUAAACCUAGAAAUGGCUUUUUUUUGACAGUCUCGUGGCUUUUGGUAGUGCUGGUUUUCACUGGUGUUGGUUUAUUUCUGUCUGGACUCAUGGGAUUCAUCUGUCUCUGCCACUUUGACAGUUCUGAUGAUCUUCUCACAGAGGUGAACUACAGCUCCUGCCAGGUGGAAACAACAUCUCUGUUAACUUCCUCUGUGUGCUCCAAAAAACAUGGAUGAACCGCUUCAUUUCUUCACUUGUUGCACCUCUAAAGAGAAAAACAAGUACAGAAAGUAUGACAGUAUGUACAGUAUAGUACAGUGACUAAUAAUGAUCAAUGCUUACAUAUGAUUAACUGAUUAGAUUUUUGCAUGCAGCAAACUUCAAUGUAGAGCUGAUUAUUAAUAUUUAAUAGACAUUGACCGAAAUGUAAUUGUUUGCAUAUUAGUUUAUUUUAUAUUUAAAGGAUUAGUUCACUUUCAAAUGAAAAUUAUCUCAAGCUUUACUCAUCCUCAAGCCAUCCUAGGUGUAUAUGAUUUUCUUCUUUCUAAAAA